ensembl:ncRNA T21G5.8 ncRNA
CGUUCCGCCUACUUUAUCGUUUUGCAAAAGACGAACUAUCAUUUUCUUCUCGCAAUUUGGAACGAGAAUCUCGAUUCAGUUUUCGGUUCAAAAGAAAGAAAAGAUGCAUAUAUAUAUAUGUAGUGAAUUUAUAGUAAAAACGA